rnacentral:rRNA from 1 species
GGGUGGUAAAGCAAUUUAGUUCGGAGGGAAGUAAAUAUUCUUUCAUCCCUGGGGAUAAUGACGGUACCCGAAGAANAAGCCCCGGCUAACUUCGUGCCAGCAGCCGCGGUAAUACGUAGGGGGCAAGCGUUUUUCGGAAUUACUGGGCGUAAAGCGCGCGCAGGCGGUUCGGUAAGUAAGAUGUGAAAUCCCAGGGCUCAACCUUGGAAUUGCCUUUUAAACUGCCGAUCUAGAGUAUGUCAGAGGGGGGUGGAAUUCCGAGUGUAGCGGUGAAAUUCGUAGAUAUUCGGAGGAACACCGGUGGCGAAGGCAGCCCCCUGGGACAACACUGACGCUCAGGCGCGAAAGCGUGGGGAGCAAACAGGAUUAGAUACCCUGGUAGUCCACGCCCUAAACGAUGUCAACUAGCUGUUGGGCCCUUCAGACUCAGUAGCGCAGCUAACGCAU